UGGGGAAUUUUGGACAAUGGGCGCAAGCCUGAUCCAGCCAUGCCGCGUGUGUGAAGAAGGCCUUUUGGUUGUAAAGCACUUUAAGCGAGGAGGAGGCUACUUGGAUUAAUACUCUAGGAUAGUGGACGUUACUCGCAGAAUAAGCACCGGCUAACUCUGUGCCAGCAGCCGCGGUAAUACAGAGGGUGCGAGCGUUAAUCGGAAUUACUGGGCGUAAAGCGUGCGCAGGCGGUUAUAUAAGACAGAUGUGAAAUCCCCGGGCUCAACCUGGGAACUGCAUUUGUGACUGUAUAGCUAGAGUACGGCAGAGGGGGAUGGAAUUCCGCGUGUAGCAGUGAAAUGCGUAGAUAUGCGGAGGAACACCGAUGGCGAAGGCAAUCCCCUGGGCCUGUACUGACGCUCAUGCACGAGAGCGUGGGGAGCAAACA
rnacentral:rRNA from 1 species